rnacentral:rRNA from 2 species
UACGUAGGGUGCAAGCGUUAAUCGGAAUUACUGGGCGUAAAGCGUGCGCAGGCGGUUAUGUAAGACAGAUGUGAAAUGCCCGGGCUCAACCUGGGAACUGCAUUUGUGACUGCAUGGCUAGAGUUUGGCAGAGGGGGGUAGAAUUCCACGUGUAGCAGUGAAAUGCGUAGAUAUGUGGAGGAAUACCGAUGGCGAAGGCAGCCCCCUGGGUCAAGACUGACGCUCAUGCACGAAAGCGUGGGGAGCAAACAGG